rnacentral:rRNA from 1 species
GUGAGUAAUGCGUCGGAAUGUACCGUGUAAUGGGGGAUAGCUCGGCGAAAGCCGGAUUAAUACCGCAUACGCCCUGAGGGGGAAAGCGGGGGAUCGAAAGACCUCGCGUUAUACGAGCAGCCGACGUCUGAUUAGCUAGUUGGUGAGGUAAGAGCUCACCAAGGCGACGAUCAGUAGCGGGUCUGAGAGGAUGAUCCGCCACACUGGGACUGAGACACGGCCCAGACUCCUACGGGAGGCAGCAGUGGGGAAUUUUGGACAAUGGGGGCAACCCUGAUCCAGCCAUGCCGCGUGUCUGAAGAAGGCCUUCGGGUUGUAAAGGACUUUUGUCAGGGAGGAAAUCCCGCUGGUUAAUACCCGGCGGGGAUGACAGUACCUGAAGAAUAAGCACCGGCUAACUACGUGCCAGCAGCCGCGGUAAUACGUAGGGUGCGAGCGUUAAUCGGAAUUACUGGGCGUAAAGCGUGCGCAGGCGGUUGUGCAAGUCUGAUGUGAAAGCCCCGGGCUUAACCUGGGAACGGCAUUGGAGACUGCACAGCUAGAGUGCGUCAGAGGGGGGUAGAAUUCCACGUGUAGCAGUGAAAUGCGUAGAGAUGUGGAGGAAUACCGAUGGCGAAGGCAGCCCCCUGGGAUGACACUGACGCUCAUGCACGAAAGCGUGGGGAGCAA